AGGCUGUUUUCACUGUCUUUGGAGAUUUAUAAAAUAGCUGUUUUUGACUAGCCGAUCGAAGCUGUAGCAUUUUAUAGAUUAGCUUCAAAUCUCCUCUGUGACGGGAUUAACACGUGUCAUUUUGGUAUGGUGAAUUCUUGAUAAAACUAGUAGAAUAGUGAGAUAAUAUACUCAACAGCCCAAAUCUCAUGAUCUAGUGUCGGUUGGAACAUGGUAUACGAAUAGAGCUGUAAAAAGGUGAUCUGCAUCAUUAAAAUAUCAAUUGUGUUUGUAAAAAGUUUUUAAAAGUGAAGUUUUACAAAAAAACCAUGCGAAAACGAUGUUAAAUGACUGAUUUCACUAAAGGGCAAAUAAUAGCUCGAUCGCAGCAAAAUCAAAGCUUCAGAAAAAUAUUGGGCAAUGUGGAGUUCAGCCACACUACUGUAGCAGCUUUCAUAAAAAAAUAUCCCAGUAGACUGUUCGCUGGUGGCUCAAAGAUACAGAACGACGCCCUGCAAAAAAAAAUUUUUUGAGACAACGGAUCAGCUGAUAUCCCCCAUGUAUGGAGAAGGUCAGGCGAACGGUUCAGUUUAGAAUGCCUAUUAUUCACAGCUCGCAGGAUGAUCUGGGGCUAUUUUUCUUAAAAAGGAGUGAAAUAAUUGUGCUAAUUAAAGGAAGAGUCAACGGUGACGUCUAUACAAAAAUCCUGGAAGCCUAUUUGAUGCCCAGCACGAUUCUGCGCCAUGUCACAAGGCACAUCUUGGCGUGGCCUGGGAAUGGUUCAGAUUUAAGUCCCAUUGAAAGUCUUGGCCGAUUAUGAAGAAACAGGUAGCCGCACAGAAGCCAAAGGACCAUAAGGAACUGGAUUCCGUCCUUUUGAAGAAGACAUUUCCCAAAACGCAGAGUAAAAUUAUAAAGCAAAAUUAAACAAUAAUUGUCAUACUACUAUUUUAAUUUUUUUUGUGAUCAAUAUUGUAGAAUGCUCCUAAUUUUAAUAAUCUCAAAAAUUUGAUUCCCUCCUGAAA